rnacentral:rRNA from 1 species
CCUACGGGUGGCAGCAGUGAGGAAUAUUGGUCAAUGGACGAGAGUCUGAACCAGCCAAGUAGCGUGAAGGAUGACUGCCCUAUGGGUUGUAAACUUCUUUUAUAUGGGAAUAAAAUGUUCCACGUGUGGGAUUUUGUAUGUACCAUAUGAAUAAGGAUCGGCUAACUCCGUGCCAGCAGCCGCGGUAAUACGGAGGCUCCGAGCGUUAUCCGGAUUUAUUGGGUUUAAAGGGAGCGUAGGUGGAUUGUUAAGUCAGUUGUGAAAGUUUGCGGCUCAACCGUAAAAUUGCAGUUGAAACUGGCAGUCUUGAGUACAGUAGAGGUGGGCGGAAUUCGUGGUGUAGCGGUGAAAUGCUUAGAUAUCACGAAGAACUCCGAUUGCGAAGGCAGUUCACUGGACUGCAACUGACACUGAGGCUCGAAAGUGUGGGUAUCAAACAGGAUUAGAUACCCUAGUAGUC